GAUGAACGCUAGCGGCAGGCCUAACACAUGCAAGUCGAGGGGUAACUAGAGUGAUAGCAAUAUUACUUUGGCUAGACCGGCGCACGGGUGCGUAACACGUAUGCAACCUACCUUAUACUGGGGAAUAACUUCGAGAAAUCGGCGCUAAUACCCCAUAACAUUGCGAAGAGGCAUCUCUUUGCAAUUAAAGCUCCGGCGGUAUAAGAUGGGCAUGCGUCCAAUUAGCUAGUUGGUGAGGUAACGGCUCACCAAGGCUACGAUUGGUAGGGGUUCUGAGAGGAUGAUCCACCAAACUGGUACUGAGACCCGGACCAGACUCCUACGGGAGGCAGCAGUGAGGAAUAUUGCGCAAUGGACGAAAGUCUGACGCAGCCAUGCCGCGUGCAGGAUGACGGCCUUAUGGGUUGUAAACUGCUUUUGUACGGGAAUAAACCCUUCUACGUGUAGGAGGCUGAAGGUACCGUAAGAAUAAGCACCGGCUAGCUCCGUGCCAGCCGCCGCCGUAACAC
rnacentral:rRNA from 1 species